rnacentral:rRNA from 1 species
AACGAACGCUGGCGGCAUGCCUAACACAUGCAAGUCGAACGAGACCUUCGGGUCUAGUGGCGCACGGGUGCGUAACGCGUGGGAACCUUCCCUUAGGUUCGGAAUAACUCCCCUAAAGGGGUGCUAAUACCGGAUAAUGUCUUCGGACCAAAGAUUUAUCGCCUUUGGAUGGGCCCGCGUUGGAUUAGCUAGUUGGUAGGGUAAAAGCCUACCAAGGCUACGAUCCAUAGCUGGUCUGAGAGGAUGAUCAGCCACACUGGGACUGAGACACGGCCCAGACUCCUACGGGAGGCAGCAGUGGGGAAUAUUGGACAAUGGGCGAAAGCCUGAUCCAGCAAUGCCGCGUGAGUGAUGAAGGCCUUAGGAUUGUAAAGCUCUUUUACCCGGGAUGAUAAUGACAGUACCGGGAGAAUAAGCUCCGGCUAACUCCGUG